GAGAGAUGCACGAGGUUAGCUGAACCAAAGUGAGAGACUCGGCUAGUUUUACUGAGGUUAACUAGCACAAAAGAGUGUGUAACUAGAAAGCUAACCGUGUGGGAGCUUCGCAACAGAGUGUGGGUGAAGUGACUUUUUGUUUCAACGGUCGCACCACCGUGGAAAACUGUGUUUCCAGCUACGAUCGCCGAGGCUAAAGGCUAGCCCGGACUGCUUGGCUGCACCACGGAGGCAGCCGCUAUGGACUGUCGGAGAGCUGGACAGUGACGGGCUAACGUGCUGUAGCAGAGACAGCAACGGGUCCGCAGGGAGUGGAUUUAGUGUGGGACUGGUGAACGGCGACCUACCGAGCAACGGAACUGUAAGUCAGACUUUUGUGCUCUUACUGGGGAGAAGAGGAUUUUUCUCCAUCGUCCAGCGUGAGCAGCAAACAGGCCUGCAACAAGUGUGAAUUCUUUAUCAUGCUCCUGUGACACAACCAUUUAUCUUCUGGGAUCAAUAAGCUCUUCACAGUGCGCCGUUUCCUGAGACAAGGCUUUGAAGUGGAUGAGGGAGGUGAGACACCAUGCGCCCAGAUGCCCAGCCGCUGUGGUUAAAGGGUCUUUAUCACGCAGACAAGGGGGACAGCACUCAGCUCUUGCCCUUCUAUCUUUCACCGCGGCAGAAGAGUGAUUUUGACAACCAGCGCUCCCCAGCUGCGCAGGGGCCAGGCCUGCAAAACCACAGGCGGAUAAUGAAUGCCACACCAUCGUGACAACUUGCACUUUUAUGGAAAGGGGAGGAAGGACACUUGUGCUCACAGCGUAUGAUGGGACGUCCUCCAUAAACCAGACAAUCAAAGCGAGGGCAGAUAAGCAUCUGUGGAAUCUGUGACGGGAACCUCCGCUGAUUUAUGGGCACUACUGGAAAAGGUUUCAGACGCAUUGCCUCACCCAAAGCCUGAGGCUAAGCUGCAAUGAGUUGGAAUGAGACCAGAUGAGAGGGAGGAAUGAACUACUGGGACAACUCCUCCACUUCAAAAAGCCUCUCCACUUUUACUUCAGGGGAUUUUGGCUGAGGUUAUGCCACAUGACCUGUUUCUAAUAACAUUUCUUUCUUUUUGCCUUUCUGUAAAACAUGCCACACUGGAGUGGAGUCAUUAAUCUUGUUAAAUCUUUCAUACUAAUAUCUGUUGAGCUGCUUUGACUGCUAAAGUCGCUUGAAAUGAGUCUGAAUCGCUAAUUCACUCCAGUGCCAUUUCAUUUCAUUUCAGCAGUGGCAGAUUUGGACUGCUCUGUGCACAAGAAUAUUUAAAAAAAAAUAUGUGGGCACAGCUACAGCAGGCUAUAUUCAUGCUGUAACCCCAAUCCAUUCAAGUUCACAACACACUGGCUGGAAAUCCCCACCUCAUGACUGAGCUUCCUGGUUACUGGCUGGUGGAGGCGCCUUUUUUUCUUCUUCUUCUCCUCUCCCUCUCUCAUUCUUUUCUUUAAACAUUAACAAGCCAGGAAAAUAUUAUCUAAUCAUAACUAAAAGGCUAACUGUGUACAUCCUGAAUUCACCCUGGUGAGCUGGCAAAAAUAAAAGAGAGAAAAUGCGGGCUGUAAAGUCGCUCCAAUAAGCCUGUAAAUUGUGCCCAUGUGCUACAAUAACACAUUUUUGAGAUCCUCUGUAUAAAUAUAAGAUCUGCCAUUGGAUUACAAUCGCUGUUUUUCUCAGGGUCGACCCACCUCAUUCAGUGCACAGUAGUAGUAGCAGCAGCUCACUGCGUCGAGGCGCGGUGCAUUGAGAAAAACAAGCUGCAGCCUGAACCGGAUAAUGCUCUGAAUUUAGGACAAAGCAGCAACCGGAGGAGCUUGAAAGUCGCUUUUUUUUUUAUUAUCCCCUGGCGGUCUGUUGCUAACCUACAGCCAUAUUUCUUUUAGCAGCGUGCAGGCUGGUACCGGUGGACCUAUUUUUUUGCAGGUUUGAUGAUAAUAAUAACAGUAGCGCGGGUUAUUCCGGAGUCGGAGGCGGUGGUGAAGCUGAACUGGGUGCCUUUUUUGUUGGCAGAAGCUCAGGUGAUUAAGUUAAAAUAUUAAAAAAGAGAGAGAGAGAGAGAAAAGCGGUGAGUGACAAGAGGCUGC
ensembl:lncRNA